AGUGAACGCUGGCGGUAGGCCUAACACAUGCAAGUCGAACGGCAGCACAGUAAGAGCUUGCUCUUACGGGUGGCGAGUGGCGGACGGGUGAGGAAUACAUCGGAAUCUACUUUUUCGUGGGGGAUAACGUAGGGAAACUUACGCUAAUACCGCAUACGACCUACGGGUGAAAGCAGGGGAUCUUCGGACCUUGCGCGAUUGAAUGAGCCGAUGUCGGAUUAGCUAGUUGGCGGGGUAAAGGCCCACCAAGGCGACGAUCCGUAGCUGGUCUGAGAGGAUGGUCAGCCACACUGGAACUGGGACACCGUCCAGACCCCUACGGGAGGCAGCAGUGGGGAAUAUUGGACAAUGGGCGCAAGCCUGAUCCAGCCAUACCGCGUGGGUGAAGAAGGCCUUCGGGUUGUAAAGCCCUUUUGUUGGGAAAGAAAAGCAGCAGGUUAAUACCCCGCUGUUCUGACGGUACCCAAAGAAUAAGCACCGGCUAACUUCGUG
rnacentral:rRNA from 1 species